GGAGUCGGUGUCCCGAUGAAUGGAUUCGAGUUGCCGGGAAGGGCUCGGUGUGCCGGCAGAGGGAAAGCUGGUUAAGGGAUAAAGAUGCAGAGGAACAACUGUUGUAAACCCCCCUCGCUCUCUGACUGAGCAAACCUUCCAGUAAUCCCAGUGCAUCUCUCUGAGAGACUCUGGGAUCAUAAGGUCUUCCAGGAAAGCAAGGACAGAGAUGAGGGAAUAGGCUUCUAAUUGAUAAUUGUUUGAUGGGUGUAGGAAUGAUUCCUGUAUGCUUGACGCUCCCCUUUAAAAUCCUGGUAUAAUUUAAAAAUGAUUUCUUUAACAAAUGAUCUAAAUUUGAGAAUUUAAAUGUGAGAGGAAAUAGUGCAAAAUAAAUGAGAGAUCAUGGAAUCCCAAAAUGGUUUGAGUGGGAAGGGUCUUUAAGGAUCACCUCAUUCCAUCCCCUGCCAUUCCACCCACAGCCCAGGGUGCUCCAAGCCCCCUCCAGCCUGGCCUUGGACACUUCCAGGGAUGGAGCAGCCACGAUUUCUCUGGGUUGAUGGGCACAGGAGGAAAUUUCCAGCAGGAGCUGAGGUGUUUCCUUUGCUCUGCCCAGCCCCAGCAGGGCUGUGGGAGGCAGAGGAUGUGGGAGCAGGAGCUUUGCCCACGGCCUCGGGGAGGCUCUGCUGUCCCAACCCCAGCAGAGCAGACGUUUGUGGUUUCACAUCCCGUUCAAAGGAGCUGCCAAGGCAGGAACGGGGAUGGGCCGCGGAGCAGGGAUGGUGCCAGGCACAGGGUGACAUCCAGAGGGUGCCACCAGUCCGUCCCUGCUGCCCAGGCUGGGCACCAGCAGGCUGGUGACUGUCCCUGUGUUUGCUCUGCAGGAUGAGGAAGCCAGCCCUGGCGAGGAGGAGGAUGAGGAGGUGUGGGAGGAUGGAGACAGCGGCCCCCAAAGGCUGGGGAAGGCCCAGGUCCAGAGAAAACCUGCCAAGGAAUAAAGCGAGAGCUUCCCCGGUGAACACCUUCCCAGUCCCACGCUGGGUUUGCACACACACAAGGCUCCAUCCCUGCUGGAAUCCCAGUCACAGCCCCCAGAUCAAUGUGCCCUUUAAGGUCUCACAGCCUGACCAGGACAAUCUCCUGCCUCUGGACAGGGAAAAUCAGUUUUUCAUUGUUACAGCACCGGCUCCAGAAUCCUCUGAGGCUGAAACAAAGACAUGGAACCUUCUGAGAUGGAAAGAGCCAAAGUGAGUUGUUGUGGGAAAGGAAAAUUAAAGACGGUAAGCGCUAAAACCUUUGUUCUUCCUGACCUCUGUACUUGACCUUUGUACCUGGAAAUGGGUCAGCUCUGGAAAUUUCCUGGAGACACUGGAGAAUGAUCCCUGGUCUGCUGAAAAGUGGGAAAAUCCCACUGGCAAUUGCAGUCCCUGAGGGAGGGAAAAAAGAGCAGGACCUCAGACUCUGAGUGUGUGAGAAAUAACGGAGGGACAAAUGUCUGGAUCAUCCUGAGCCUCAGGGCACCAGGAAAAGCCCUUGACUGGAAAACUGAAGUGCUGUUCCCCAGGCACCCUGGGAAUUGGGCUCAUCCCAGCUUCUUUUCCAGAGCUGGAGGAAUGCCCCACAGUGCUGUUUGAGACCUUCCUGACUGGAACUGGGGCCAACUGGGCACUUUCCUGUUUUCCUGUAGGAUGUGGGCCGUGACAUGAAUAGGCUCCAACAGGGCCCUGGGGUCUGUGGCAUGGACAACUCCCAGAGCCAGACAGGGAAGGGGACCUUCACCCACACUCCCAAAAAGCUGAGAAGGAAAAACACCUGCCUGCAGCUCCUGGAGCUCUGGGGUUUCUGCUGCACUCAGGGACGUGGGAUAAUGCCAGAAUAAUUCAAACCUUGAGAAUAAUGGAAUUAAUACCACCCCUUGAGCCCAUCGGCCACUGGCUGCAGAUGGCUGUGGAAGUGAUGGAGGCAUUCAGGGAAUGCUGAUUGUUUUACCCUCCCUUUGGCAAUCUGGUCAGCAAAAAUACUAAUUGAGCUCUUCCAGCAAGGAAACAUUUAAGCAAGAGGUGCUGAAAAGAAUUGGAGUUUCUGAUUUUAAGUCUCCAACUUAAAAAUCCUCUUUGGAUUGUCACUGGUCCAACUUCCAUGGACUGGUCACUGUGGCCAGGAGUGCCCAGUCCUGCUGGAAAUGCACUGGACCAGGAUGUCAUUUUCAUUUUAUGCUGGUAAAGACCCUCUGGGUGACCCCCAGUGACUGGAAGGACCAGACUGGGCUCCCAGGGCACUAAUUCCAGGGGUUCUGGUUUUGGGAAUAGCACAGGAGCCGCUCCCUUGCCCAGAGGAGCAGCUAGUGCCUUCCUUAGUCCACAAAUCCCCAGGACUGACCACAGAGGAAAUAGCAGGAAUGUGGAAAUCCCCCACACUGGGAGUUUGUGGUGCUCUGGAUUACAUUUUGGAUUUAUACUGUUAAAGGGGGACUGUGGAAUGGCUUCUCUCCUUUUUAUUGUCACUGUUGUCACUGCUUUUGUUGCUAUCACUGUUAUAUGCUGUCAUCAAUAUUAAAUUAUUAUAUUUGUCUUGGUUUCCAUUAUUAAAGUGUUCUGAGCUGGA